CCUACGGGAGGCAGCAGUGGGGAAUAUUGGACAAUGGGCGAAAGCCUGAUCCAGCCAUGCCGCGUGUGUGAAGAAGGCCUUCGGGUUGUAAAGCACUUUCAGUGGGGAAGAAAGCCUUGGGGCCAAUACCCUCGAGGAAGGACAUCACCCACAGAAGAAGCACCGGCUAACUCCGUGCCAGCAGCCGCGGUAAUACGGAGGGUGCGAGCGUUAAUCGGAAUUACUGGGCGUAAAGCGCGCGUAGGCGGUCUGAUAAGCCGGUUGUGAAAGCCCCGGGCUCAACCUGGGAACGGCAUCCGGAACUGUCAGGCUAGAGUGCAGGAGAGGAAGGUAGAAUUCCCGGUGUAGCGGUGAAAUGCGUAGAGAUCGGGAGGAAUACCAGUGGCGAAGGCGGCCUUCUGGACUGACACUGACGCUGAGGUGCGAAAGCGUGGGUAGCAAACAGGAUUAGAUACCCCAGUAGUC
rnacentral:rRNA from 1 species